CCUACUCCUACUACCUACCUGUUUAUAAAAUGUAUUGUUGCACGCCUAAUUUAAUAAUGCAAGGUCAAUAAUUUUUAACAAAAGAAUGCAAUUUAUCGUACAGUUUACUUUUAUAAAGUUACAGUUUUGUGCCAGAAAAUCGACACAUCUAUACUCAGCCAAAAAAGUUGAAUAUUUGACGUGGAAUCUGAUCUUCAAAUUACUCGAGCAUUCAAUUCCAUUUUUCAGCUCGAAGCUUCGACACGAUGAACUUCGAAUUAUUACUAUUUUUCAUCGGAGUUGAGUUAAUUUUGGCUCUUUCUCAAUUGGCUCAGGCGGAAGUGGAUUUUUCAGACGAGAUAUUUCCAACAAAACGCAAUUGUGUGCAAUUUUGUGUUCCUUAUUGCGAGUCGUAUAGACAAAUAUCCCAUCAUCAUUGCUUCCGACAACAAUUCGGUGGAUUUAAAUGUGCUUGUAUGUCGCCGGGGACGUCAAAGAGAAGAGGUAGCUCGACAUUUCAAGCAGUAGAUUAUUAGUAACGAAAUAGGAAUAAGUACCAAAGCAGGAAGAUAAUUUGAUCUGGCUGAUUUUUCUAUUUUUAUACAUUUUUUUAAAUGCCACUGUUUGAAAAUUAAUAAGUUAGGUAUCACUUUAUUAAUUAUCAAUUAAUUAAUUAAGUAAGUAAGUAAGUAAGUACCUACAUUUUUAUACUUUUAAUUUUUAUCCUUCUUUCCCCCCCCCCCAUCAUAAUGAUACCUGGUUUAAGGAACUCUGAGUAUGACAGUAAUAAGUAAACAUUUAAAAUUAAAUGUUCGUUUUAAAAUAA